UUCAUAGUGUUCCAUUAAAGAAAGGUCCAGUUUCAAUCUCAUUUGGUAAAUGAGAUGUCUGUCCAAGCAGGGAAUUAAUUCUGAAUGCCGAUCAUCACAAACGGGGUAACUUUUUGGUAUGACAUCAUCUUCUGUGUCUUCCUGCUCAGUUGUCGUUGAAGAUUCAUCAGAGUCUUCGUUCCCCAUCAAAUAAUGGCUCAAGGACUUGCUGCCAUGCUGUAGAGCUGAGUCUUGAUUGCCAAAAAUGGAUCCAUAAUAUGCAUACAGAAACCCAAGAAAUAUUGCCACAACAAAUAUGGUAGCGAUUAAGCGCUUCUUCUGCGUUCCAUCAGAUCUUCCCCUCGUCAUUUAUCAAACUUUCAAGUUUUCCUCAGCUAUAUAUUUUGGCCCAAGUAUGAAAACAAUGUUGAAUGUACCACUUAAAUGGAAACUAGAUAACCUCCCCUCCUGAAGUGGCACCGGAUCGGAAAGCGAGUGCGGGAAGUGAA
rnacentral:misc_RNA from 1 species